UACGUAGGGUGCGAGCGUUAAUCGGAAUUACUGGGCGUAAAGCGUGCGCAGGCGGUUUGCUAAGACCGAUGUGAAAUCCCCGGGCUUAACCUGGGAACUGCAUUGGUGACUGGCAGGCUAGAGUAUGGCAGAGGGGGGUAGAAUUCCAUGUGUAGCAGUGAAAUGCGUAGAGAUGUGGAGGAAUACCGAUGGCGAAGGCAGCCCCCUGGGCCAAUACUGACGCUCAUGCACGAAAGCGUGGGGAGCAAACAGG
rnacentral:rRNA from 1 species